GUCUGCCUACGGGGCGCAGCAGUGGGGAAUAUUGCACAAUGGGGGAAACCCUGAUGCAGCGACGCCGCGUGAGUGAAGAAGUAUUUCGGUACGUAAAGCUCUAUCAGCAGGGAAGAAAUAAAGUCCUUUGGACUUUGGACGGUACCUGACUAAGAAGCCCCGGCUAACUACGUGCCAGCAGCCGCGGUAAUACGUAGGGGGCAAGCGUUAUCCGGAUUUACUGGGUGUAAAGGGAGCGCAGGCGGUGCGGCAAGUCUGAUGUGAAAGCCCGGGGCUCAACCCCGGGACUGCAUUGGAAACUACCG
rnacentral:rRNA from 1 species